UUUUUAAACCCUAGCCUCUGAGACAGAUGAACAGAGAGGCGACGAUCUGGACGACAGAGGCGACAAACGGAGAGGGCUGAGCCGAUUUCCCAGCGAGACGACGGAGGCGAGGAGAGGCGGCGGUGAGGCGACUGGAGGCGGCGACAGACGAACAGAGAGAGGCGGCGAGAGGCUGAGCCGAUUCCCACACUUGUCUCUCCAACCCAAAUCCCAGAACAAUCACAUAGAGGCUCAUGAAGAGCAACCAAAAAAGACAAAGUUGUUUUUUAUUCAUGUGGUGGAGCACUGGGAUGCUGAGUUCUAUGCUAAGGUCAAUGAUUAUGUUUAUGUUAAUAUUGGUGGCAUGCUUUCCCACCACUGCUGCUUGGGAUGAAAGAUUGCAAGACAGGUCAUUAUCAAUAAUUUCAUGAUGUUAGAAAGACUGAAUUGGAAAAGGUGCAAGUGAAGGAAUUUGAGUGAAAGGAUUUCAAGAUUUAUUACUGUCCAAAAUUGUGACUUUGAAGGGAAUAGAUUUAUAAAUGUACAUUGGAAGUCUUUUUAUAGUAUGAGUCUACAUACAUAGAUUUAUAAAUGUACGUUGGAAGUCUUGUUUCACAUAAUUCUUAUUAUAUACAAAGCAUUUCGUACAAUUGAUUAUCAUA